rnacentral:rRNA from 1 species
GACGUAGGGCGCGAGCGUUGUCCGGAUUUAUUGGGCGUAAAGAGCUCGUAGGCGGCUUGUCGCGUCGACUGUGAAAACCCGUGGCUCAACCAUGUGGUCUGCAGUCGAUACGGGCAGGCUAGAAUUCGGUAGGGGAGACUGGAAUUCCUGGUGUAGCGGUGAAAUGCGCAGAUAUCAAGAGGAACACCUGAGGUGAAGACGGGUUGCUGGGCUGACACUGACGCUGAGGCGCGAAAGCUAGGGGAGCAAACAGG